UGGGGAAUUUUGGACAAUGGGCGAAAGCCUGAUCCAGCCAUGCCGCGUGCGGGAAGAAGGCCUUCGGGUUGUAAACCGCUUUUGUCAGGGAAGAAAUCUUCUGAGUUAAUACCUCGGGAGGAUGACGGUACCUGAAGAAUAAGCACCGGCUAACUACGUGCCAGCAGCCGCGGUAAUACGUAGGGUGCAAGCGUUAAUCGGAAUUACUGGGCGUAAAGCGUGCGCAGGCGGUUUUUGUAAGACAGAGGUGAAAUCCCCGGGCUCAACCUGGGAACUGCCUUUGUGACUGCAAGGCUUGAGUGCGGCAGAGGGGGAUGGAAUUCCGCGUGUAGCAGUGAAAUGCGUAGAUAUGCGGAGGAACACCGAUGGCGAAGGCAAUCCCCUGGGCCUGCACUGACGCUCAUGCACGAAAGCGUGGGGAGCAAACAGGAUUAGAUACCCUGGUAGUCCACGCCCUAAACGAUGUCAACUGGUUGUUGGGAAGGUUCCUUCUCAGUAACGUAGCUAACGCGUGAAGUUGACCGCCUGGGGAGUACGGCCGCAAGGUUGAAACUUAAAUGAAUUGA
rnacentral:rRNA from 1 species